rnacentral:rRNA from 1 species
CUAACAAGGAUUCCCCCAGUAACGGCGAGUGAAGCGGGAUGAGCUCAAAUUUGAAAUCUCCGGUGCUUGCACCGGCGAAUUGUAGUUGCGAGAAGCACUUUCUAGGCGGAUCGGUGGCGCCUAAGUUGCUUGGAACAGCAUGUCGCAGAGGGUGACAACCCCGUCUGUGGCGUGGCCGGCCGCUGACGAUGUGCUUUCGAAGAGUCGGGUUGUUUGGGAAUGCAGCCCAAAAUGGGUGGUAAACUCCAUCUAAAGCUAAAUAUUGGCGUGAGACCGAUAGCGAACAAGUACCGUGAGGGAAAGAUGAAAAGAACUUUGAAAAGAGAGUUAAAAAGUACGUGAAACCGUUGAAAGGGAAACGAAUGGACUCAGCAAUGCGCCGUUUGAGAUUCAGCCGGAGGGCGGGAUCGGCACGGGGCUUGCGGAUCUGAAUGGACCGCGGCUUCGGGCCCGUUUCCCCUCGCCGUCGCACUUCUCUUGGGCGCGCGUCAACGUCGGUUGGGACUGGGUCUGAAAGGUGCCGGGAAGGUAGGUCUGGCAGCCCGGUUCUCUCAUGGCUCGGGCCCGACCGAGGAGUCGCAGCGCAUGCCUCCUGUGGCUAGGGUGCCGUCCUUCCGGCCGGUUGUCGAAUGCGGUGGACUGCUUGCAGUGCUCCGCGGCUGCUGCCGGUCGUUGGGGUGGUGAUCUCGUACCAUGCGCUUGGGACGUUGGCGGUCAUAUGGGUCC